UUCUCCCUGCUGGGCAAUUGACCUAGACUCAUCAGGCUAUGAGAACAAGUGCCAGGCUCUUAGAAUAAGGGACAAGUGUCCACUCUCUUCCUGACCACCUCUAGUGUCUCCUCUGUUGUGGUGGUCCUCAGAGAAAGGCACCAGUCAGAGGAGCAGAGCUGAGGUGUGUCUCCAUGUGGGAGCAGAGGGGACUGUGAUGUUGACCCCAGAAUGCAUGCUGGAAGGAGCCUUCUGAGCCUGUCUCUGAAACCGAAAGGUAAAUGGUGCCCACACAUGCAGAAUCUCUGAGGAUGGACUCCAGCGGGAAGACCCCGACUUCUGUCUUCACAACCUGCAAAUCUUACCCAGUUCUGGGGUGGUGAGGAAGCUCAGACUUGGAGUUUAGAAACCUUUAUCUGGGUCUUGUCUCUCUCCUUCACUUGCUGUGUGACCUUGGGCAAGUUGUUGCAACAGCUUUUGUGUUAGGGAUCAUGGCUUUGUGUGCUGGCUUGGUUUCUCUCCCGCCCAUACCUUUGAGUGUUCACCCCUCAAUUAACAUCAUUUUAGAAACAAGUCACUGGGGAGGUGGAGACAGGGGGCUCCCAGUGCUAGCCAGUCUGGCUGAAUUCAGGAACUUCAGGUCCAGUGAGACCUUGCCUCAAAAGAAAAGCAGAGAGCAACUGAGGUUGCUAAUGUCUCUCUACCCCAGGCCUACACAUAAGCAUACAGGAGUUGUGGCUGAUGUCCACCUCAGACUUGCACACAAGCAUGCAGGAGUUGCCCAACAAUGAGCCUUGUCACCACCACCCUGCCCAAAUGUCUGAGAAGAAGCCAGUUGCCAGGGGCACCCUAAGACUCCCUGAGCUGUGCAUCUGCAGCAGGCCAAGGAGGCCUCACCUCUGCCUGCCCCAGACAGUUCAUAGCUGGCUUCUCAAGGACAAUGGGAAGCUAAUCUGAGGAUGCCCGGUCCCUGAGGAUAUCAUCUAAUGGCAGGCAGCCCCAGGCCAACUUUGAGCUGCCAGGUGUUGGGCAUGCAUGCAUGGCUGUGCACCACAUGUGUGCCUAGUACCUGUAGAGGUCAGAA